rnacentral:lncRNA from 1 species
AAACAUUUUGGUCUUGAUGAGGAGAAGGAAGAUUAGGGAGCAUCAACCAUAUCAAGCAAAGUUCAAAACGAUAAAAACAAUUAAUAUUAACCAAAAGAAAAGAAGGUGAUACGAUAACAACAAUAAACAGUAGCAGCAUGAAUGAAAAUCAUGCAUGGAAAAAAGCCAGAGGGAUUGAUUGUUAUACAAGUUUUCUGCUUCCAAAUUCAAACUGAAUUUAUGUUUUGUCGGGGCUUUUUCAUUUUUGGUUUAAAUCAAGGUACACGCUAGUGUCAAAAAAGCAUGUUGUCACUGUUGAAAAUACGUGCAAGAUAUAAAUGCAACUAACUUCCAAAUACAAGCGUCAAGGAACAUGCACAAACACGUAGGAUUCUUAUCCUUAAAUUAUAAGGACGGUGUUUCUUAUAUUGAUCACAGUGCCAGUACCCCAG